rnacentral:lncRNA from 1 species
UCUCACCAAAAUCUCCAACUCUCUCCUCAUUGGAUAAGACAAGUAUCGAGAAGCUUUCAUUUCCAUUGGUCCUCCUCUCUCCUUCUAUAAUCCCAAAACACCAUCUCACAUACUCUCCUCAAGCCUCUCAUCUCAUCUCAUCUCCAAGCCUCUCCGAUCAUCAGAGCAGAACAGAGCCAAGACGAUGGCAGCAACCAUGGCGACAUCAGCCACGUGCAUGUCCCUAAACCCAUCUCCUCCUAAACUCCAAAACCAAACCAAACCCAAACCAUUCAUCUCCCUCCCAAACCCAACAAAACCCAACGUAUCUCUCGCUGUCUCAAGCACUGCCCUAGCUGGAGCCGUCUUCUCAUCCCUCAGCUACUCUGAGCCAGCCUUAGCC